UACGUAGGGACCGAGCGUUGUCCGGAAUCAUUGGGCGUAAAGAGCGUGUAGGCGGCCACUUAAGUCCUGCGUGAAAUCUUGCGGCUCAACCGCAAGCGGUCGUGGGAAACUGGGUGGCUAGAGUGCGGGAGAGGAGAGUGGAAUUCCUGGUGUAGCGGUGGAAUGCGCAGAUAUCAGGAAGAACACCAAUAGCGAAGGCAGCUCGCUGGGACGGUAUUGACGCUGAGGCGCGAAAGCGUGGGGAUCGAACAGG
rnacentral:rRNA from 1 species